CCCCUCUCAGGGUUGCACCUGGAGAGUUUCCAGUCCUCUACCAGUCUCGGCUAUGUGAGGGGAAGUCAAGCAGAGGCAUACCCAUGCUGUUCCUAGCUUGGCCAGUGGCUAGCGAGUGGAAGACGAUCUGCUACAAAU